AAGGCUUUAGCUUAAUUAAAGUGUUUGUUUUGCAUGCAAAAGAUGUGAGUUAGUAUCUUGCAAGUCUUA
rnacentral:tRNA from 1 species